UCAGAUGCAGUUCGUAGGGUAUGACGUAGUACGAAAGGUUGGAUGACCAUGUCGAGAUUCGUGUUGUUGUUUUCCGAUGUUCUUCUCAGGUGUACGUAGUUCCCUCACGUUAUCGUCAGAUCUUAGAUCGAUGGAAUGAUGUUGUCCACCGCAUUGUGAUAUUUAGUUGCGGCGAACCGUAACUGAAAUGAUUCUUAAGAUUGUGAUUUGUGUACAAUAAAUUUAUAAUUAAA
rnacentral:lncRNA from 1 species